rnacentral:rRNA from 1 species
ACUCAAAUGAAUUGACGGGGGCCCGCACAAGCAGUGGAGCAUGUGGUUUAAUUCGAUGCUACGCGAAAAACCUUACCAGGGUUUGACAUCCCAGUGUAAUCUCCUAGAAAUAGGAGACCCCUUCGGGCACUGGUGACAGGUGGUGCAUGGUUGUCGUCAGCUCGUGCCGUGAGGUGUUGGAUUAAGUUCCGCAACGAGCGCAACCCUCGUGGUUAGUUGCCAUCAUUAAGUUGGGCACUCUAGCCAGACUGCCGGCGUCAAGCCGGAGGAAGGUGGGGAUGACGUCAAAUCAUCAUGCCCCUUACAUCCUGGGCUACACACGUGCUACAAUGGGCAGUACAACGGGUUGCCACACCGCGAGGUGGAGCGAAUCCUUCAAAGCUGCUCUCAGUCCGGAUUGCAGGCUGCAACUCGCCUGCAUGAAGCUGGAAUUGCUAGUAACCGUGGAUCAGCAUGCCGCGGUGAAUACGUACUCGGGCCUUGUACACACCGCCCGU